GAUUAUGAUUGCAGCUAAACAACAACGAGAAUAUCAUCAUAAUUCAACAACAAAUGAAUUGCAGUGUUUAACUGUGGAUGCAUCACCAGUCCCUAUCAAACAACAACCUCAAUUGACUUUGUUGAAUAAUAGUAGUGUUAAACUAUCCACAUCAUCAUCGCCAAGGUUGUCGUCCCCUUCAAUAUUGAAUGCUACAAACCAAUGUUUGACUACUACUAAUACUACUCCUGGUGCUGCAGUUAUUGUCAUUGUUACAAGGUAGUGUCAUCAGUAUGUUGUUGAUUGGUGUUUUUUAUUUGAGAAUAGGUCUGUGAUGCCCUUAGAUGUCCGGGGUCACACGAGCGCUACAAUGACGGCGCCAGCGAGUCUGGAAACCUGGCCCGAAAGGGGUGGGCAGUACCGUCAGGACUAGGAUCAGGGCUUGCAAUUAUUCCUCGUGAACGAGGAAUUCCUGGUAAGUGCAAGUCAUAAGCUUACGCUGAUUACGUCCCUGCCCUUUGUACACACCGCCCGUCGCCACUACUGACUGAAUGGUUUAGUGAGGUCGUUGGAUUGGUGUCGUUGUAGUGGCUUUGCCGCUCGACUGAUGCUGAGAAGAUGACUUAAUCUGACUAUUUAGAGGAAGUAAAAGUCGUAACAAGGUUUCCGUAGGUGAACCUGCGGAAGGAUCAUUAUCAUAACCCAAAAAUAUAUAAUCAUGCAUGCACAUGGCUUCUUGCUGGACUGCAUGUGCCCUGGCUUGGUGGUUAUAACCCUACGCUCCAGUGGUUAUUAUUGCGUCAAAACCAAUCAGUGGACAUCGCAAUGCUUUGUUUUAAUUAGAUAGUAGGAUUCCCCUGGUCCGUGCCAGUUCUGAGUUAGCCGUCGCGCGACAGACCAUGGAAGUACAGCCACUUGACGCAA
rnacentral:ncRNA from 1 species